rnacentral:rRNA from 1 species
ACUCCUACGGGAGGCAGCAGUGGGGAAUAUUGCACAAUGGGCGCAAGCCUGAUGCAGCCAUGCCGCGUGUAUGAAGAAGGCCUUCGGGUUGUAAAGUACUUUCAGCAGUGAGGAAGGUGGGUAUGUUAAUAGCAUAUUCAUUUGACGUUAGCUGCAGAAGAAGCACCGGCUAACUCCGUGCCAGCAGCCGCGGUAAUACGGAGGGUGCGAGCGUUAAUCGGAAUUACUGGGCGUAAAGCGCAUGCAGGUGGUUUGUUAAGUCAGAUGUGAAAGCCCGGGGCUCAACCUCGGAAUUGCAUUUGAAACUGGCAAACUAGAGUACUGUAGAGGGGGGUAGAAUUUCAGGUGUAGCGGUGAAAUGCGUAGAGAUCUGAAGGAAUACCGGUGGCGAAGGCGGCCCCCCUGGACAGAUACUGACACUCAGAUGCGAAAGCGUGGGGAGCAAACAGGAUUAGAACCCUGGUAGGCUCUGC